AGAAUCAACGCUGGCGGCGUGCCUAACACAUGCAAGUCGAACGCGAAAGUGGAGCAAUCCAUGAGUAGAGUGGCAAACGGGUGAGUAACGCGUGGGCGACCUACCUCGAAGUGGGGGAUAACCUUCCGAAAGGAGGGCUAAUACCGCAUGACAUCCCGUGUUUGGAUACACGGACAUCAAAGCCGGGAUCGCAAGACCUGGCGCUUCAAGAGGGCCCGCGUCCGAUUAGCUAGUUGGUGAGGUAACGGCUCACCAAGGCUCCGAUCGGUA
rnacentral:rRNA from 1 species